CUAUUUCUGCCCUUAUCUGUGAAAAUUUCCUUCAAUUGCUUCGUAGUGCUUCAUUUUCUCAAUUGUUCCCUAUGUCCAUCAUUCCUCUCAUCUCCUUCUGAUGCUACCAGACUCCUCACAUCUUCCUCUAGUGCUAACAUGGCUUUCCUCGGUAGCUAGUGUCUCAAUUCUUUCUAUGACUACCCAUUGGAGUCAUAUUUCUAACCUCGUCUGAACUGCCUGUAGACAGGCUAUUGCCUCUACCGCGAAAAGUUUUAUUUUGGUUAUACUCUCGUCCGAUGGUUUCCAACAUUCAUUGUUAUUAAUCCUCCUUGGUAUGUUGUUCUUUACUACUGACCAUUCCUCUAUAUAUUUCCUUAUAAAGCAUAUUGUCUCUGUGGCUGAUUGUUGUAUUUUUUCAUGCAACACUCUAUUUCGUCCCAUCCAAACCGUUCAUAUGGUGGCAAAUAAAAGUUGUUUCUGUUAGCCACUACUUCUAUCCCUAAAUGUAUGCUCCAAAGUCUCUGUUCCCUCCCUACAUCUUGGACACAGAGCCGAGUUACUGAUUCUUCUGUUGUAUAGGUUUCCAAAUUUGUAGAAAUAUAAUUGUUGUAUAUUCUCCACUUUGUAGUUUUAAUUUUGAUAUACAGAUUUUUAUGCCAAAGGUUGUUGUAAUAAUCUCUAUUUGUGUAGUUAUUGUUAGCCAUUUUUGGGUUUGUAUUUCUCAUCAAUAAGUCUAUAACCGCUCUUUAUUGUGUAUUCCCCCGUAAGUUCUCCACUCCAAACCCUUCUGUCCUCCUGUGAGUCUUUUGCAAGAGGAAUAUCC